CAAUCCAUGGCAUGGCCCAAUAACAGAAUCUUUCUUCGACAAAAAAACGCCGUUUCUCUUCAAAUUCGAAAUCAGCUAGCUACCUCUCGCCAUGGCGACUUCACCUGCAGCAUCUGAUGAUAUGACGUCUUCAGAUGACGCCCCACUUGAUUUCAGUAUGAAGAAACGUCGUUGCGAAACACCUCCUCUGUCGUCUUCGGACAGCAAUAGUGAAACAGCGUCACCUGCGACGCCAAUAUUGAAUGGCAUUGAUCCAACCCUCUUGGCUUCUAGCAUUUUGGCUAGUACCAAUGCUGCUACUUCUAGGCCUUUUAAAAGUUAUCCCCUCUCCCUGGGCUUGUAUGCAAUACCGGGUCUGCUAACACAAGCCACAGAAGAUAUGUAUGCUAAAUUUAGAGACGCUGCGACCAAAAGUGACGAUUCAACAUCACCAUCAUCAGAGGACCAACAGCCAAGUCACAACAAAGCGUCCAGUCGCCGCCGCGCCGCCAAAUCAUUGCCGGACACUAUGAAAGAUCAGGCCUAUUGGGAAAGACGCCGGAAAAACAAUGAGGCCGCAAAACGCUCAAGGGACGCUCGACGAGCGAAAGAAGAUGAAAUCGCUAUACGAGCGGCUUUCCUUGAACAAGAGAACCUCAAGUUACGCGUCGAAGUUGCGGCGUUAAAGAAUGAAACGACCAAAUUACGUCACAUGCUCUAUAACAGUUGAUAAUCGAUCGUUAUUGACUGCGAAUUGAUUUUUUUUAGCUGUUGUUUAUUUUUCAGCUUACGUAACGGUUUUCUUUUGUAUUUUUGUUUUUUUUUUGUUUUGGUCGGUGUUCUCAAUCUCAGGGCUGCAAGACAUUUUGUUCGACCUCAUCUUCAACAGUACACCGCUACACCUCUCUUAAAAACAACAAGUGUGCUUUGUUUGUUUUUUUUUCUGUUACAUAACACUAUGUGCUUUAUUAAUC
rnacentral:misc_RNA from 1 species